AAAAAGUGCUUCUGUCGUGAUUUGCACACACGGGGCAACUCAAUUGCUCUUCAUGCAGAAUCGACAUCAAGAGAUUUCAGAAGCACAAUUUUUUGGAACCUGGGCAGCUGGUGAUCGUUAGUCCCAGCACCGGU